CCUUCGAUAGCUCAGUUGGAAGAGCGCGAGACUGUAAUUGGUUACUUGCUAUCUCGAUGUCGCUGGUUCGAUCCCGGCUCGAAGGA
rnacentral:tRNA from 1 species